UCCCGGCGGCCCGGGGCCCACGCUGGGACAUAGUCGGAGCGGCGCGUCCUAAGCGAACACGCGGUUUCAGGCCAACCUGGGGUUCAAGGCGACCACUCUGAGGCAGGGUGACUACGGCAGUUUCAAGGAGUUUCAGGGUCCUGGUGUCAGCAAGGUAGAGCAGGCCCAGCUUCUUUGGGGCCAGGCCUGUCUUUCUGCUGCGUCUAAAUCAGAUCUCAGGGCUGGGGGUCGGGCACAGUGGCAGAGCCCUGGCUGGGUUCCACCCCCAGCAUCAGAGGAAAAGAAACAAGGAUUUCAGAUCGGCAGCUUCCGGAAGCUCUGACCCUCCCCACUGUGGCUUGGCCAUAAAGCAGGCCGGCCCUUCAGACCUGCUCCUGUGACAGAGGCUGAUAAGACCCCCACUGCAGAAGGAGGCUUGCUGCACAGCAUCCUUUGUCAGCUGGUAACCUCCCUGCUGCAAGUCUCUCGAGGAAAUCGGACCCGAAGAGGGGGUGUGGGAGUCCCAGUGUACAGCUGGUUUCCAGAGGCACAGGUGAAACCACUGGGGGUGUGAUGAAUACCUGCUGUGUGUGUGUGUGUGUCCUGGGUGUAGGCUUUGGGACUGCACCUCGACUUGCAGGAGUGGAUGCUACAUCCAGGCAGAGAGAUGCUGUGCAGACCGAGUUGAAUUCAGAGGACGGCCGCUGGUGUCCAGCGUGUAAUCAGCCGAUUCCUUGCCUUUGCGGGACCCAUCUGUGUUAGGACUGUGCUUGUGAGUGCACGGUUAGAGGAACUGACUUGAAGUUGUUUUUCCUUCUGUAUCCACACCAUCUGCCUCGGUCCUA